ACUUGUGUGGCUGGAUAAUAGAAUAUAGCAGCCAUGCCGGGUAAAGAUCCUAAUAAGCCGAAGGGAAAGACUUCUUCCUAUGCGUUCUUUGUUGCGACGUGCCAGAAAGAACACAAGAAAAAACACUCAGGAACUUCAAUGAACUUUUCCGAGUUCUCAAAGAAAUGCUCAGAGAGGUGGAGGACCAUGUCUGCAAAAGAGAAGGGGAAGUUUGAGGACAUGGCCAAGGGUGACAAAGUCCAUUAUGACAAGGACAUGAAGGGUUAUGUGCCCCCUAAGGGAUCUAAGGCAGCAGGAAAGAGAAAGAAGGACCCCAAUGCCCCCAAAAGGACACCUUCUGCAUUUUUUGUGUUCUGUGCUGAACACCGUGGAAGAAUCCCUGGCUGAUAACCCAGGCAUGGGCACUGGCGACAUCGCCAAGCAGCUGGGUCUGCUGUGAGGCAAGCAGACUCCCAAAGACAAGUAGCCACACAAAGCAAAGGCCGCAAAGCUGAAGGAAAAGUAUGAGAAGGAUGUUGCUGCCUACAAGGCUAAGGGAGGUGCAGGUGCAACUGCUAAGAGUGGCCCUGGCAGGCCAGCUGUUGGCAAGAAGGCAGCGCCCAUGGAUGAUGAUGACGAUGAUGAUGAUGAAGAGGAGGAGGAUGAUGAGGAAGAGGAGGAUGAUGAGGAUGAUGACUAAACUGCCUGGAAACUUUAGCUGGAGUAUUUGCAAAACAAUGUGAACCUUACAAUGUAACAUUUAUAGCAUUUUGGAUUUUUCAGAACAUGUACAGUGAUGUGCAAUGGCUGCAAUAAUGCAUACAGGGGUCAUAUUGUGCUGUCUUGUAAAUGAACAGCUCUUAUUCUCAAAGCACUGCUUGUUUUGUCUUUGGAUGGUGGCAUG